CAAGUAGAACGCUGAAGAGAGGAGCUUGCUCUUCUUGGAUGAGUUGCGAACGGGUGAGUAACGCGUAGGUAACCUGCCUUGUAGCGGGGGAUAACUAUUGGAAACGAUAGCUAAUACCGCAUAACAAUGGAUGACACAUGUCAUUUAUUUGAAAGGGGCAAUUGCUCCACUACAAGAUGGACCUGCGUUGUAUUAGCUAGUAGGUGAGGUAACGGCUCACCUAGGCGACGAUACAUAGCCGACCUWGAGAGGGUGAUCGGCCACACUGGGACUGAGACACGGCCCAGACUCCUACGGGAGGCAGCAGUAGGGAAUCUUCGGCAAUGGGGGCAACCCUGACCGAGCAACGCCGCGUGAGUGAAGAAGGUUUUCGGAUCGUAAAGCUCUGUUGUAAGUCAAGAACGAGUGUGAGAGUGGAAAGUUCACACUGUGACGGUAGCUUACCAGAAAGGGACGGCUAACUACGUGCCAGCAGCCGCGGUAAUACGUAGGUCCCGAGCGUUGUCCGGAUUUAUUGGGCGUAAAGCGAGCGCAGGCGGUUUGAUAAGUCUGAAGUUAAAGGCUGUGGCUCAACCAUAGUUCGCUUUGGAAACUGUCAAACUUGAGUGCAGAAGGGGAGAGUGGAAUUCCAUGUGUAGCGGUGAAAUGCGUAGAUAUAUGGAGGAACACCGGUGGCGAAAGCGGCUCUCUGGUCUGUAACUGACGCUGAGGCUCGAAAGCGUGGGGAGCGAACAGGAUUAGAUACCCUGGUAGUCCACGCCGUAAACGAUGAGUGCUAGGUGUUGGAUCCUUUCCGGGAUUCAGUGCCGCAGCUAACGCAUUAAGCACUCCGCCUGGGGAGUACGACCGCAAGGUUGAAACUCAAAGGAAUUGACGGGGGCCCGCACAAGCGGUGGAGCAUGUGGUUUAAUUCGAAGCAACGCGAAGAACCUUACCAGGUCUUGACAUCCCGAUGCUAUUUCUAGAGAUAGAAAGUUACUUCGGUACAUCGGUGACAGGUGGUGCAUGGUUGUCGUCAGCUCGUGUCGUGAGAUGUUGGGUUAAGUCCCGCAACGAGCGCAACCCCUAUUGUUAGUUGCCAUCAUUCAGUUGGGCACUCUAGCGAGACUGCCGGUAAUAAACCGGAGGAAGGUGGGGAUGACGUCAAAUCAUCAUGCCCCUUAUGACCUGGGCUACACACGUGCUACAAUGGUUGGUACAACGAGUUGCGAGUCGGUGACGGCAAGCUAAUCUCUUAAAGCCAAUCUCAGUUCGGAUUGUAGGCUGCAACUCGCCUACAUGAAGUCGGAAUCGCUAGUAAUCGCGGAUCAGCACGCCGCGGUGAAUACGUUCCCGGGCCUUGUACACACCGCCCGUCACACCACGAGAGUUUGUAACACCCGAAGUCGGUGAGGUAACCUUUGGAGCCAG
rnacentral:rRNA from 1 species